UUUGACAAAUGUUGUUUUAAAUGUGGUGAUAAGCUGAUUGAAUCUUUUGCAGCUGCUAUUCAUUAAGAAAGACGACAUGAAGUUGUUCUUAUGCCUUGUCUUUUUUCUAGCUCUCUAUUAUUCUUGUGAAGCUGAUGUAUGUCUCUUUGGACCAGUGUGUGCUCAACAUGUACUAUCAACAGUGGAGAAUGGACAGACCUAUUGUUGCAUGAGUGGAUACCACACAAUUUAUACCAGUCUCCACACUAAUGCCGGACAUCUGAGUGUUGCCUGUCAAUGUCUUCUGACCUGAAUGACCACUCACGUAACACUGUUUAUGUCGCAGUAGUGAAAUUUACUUGUUUAGAUCACCAAUAAAACUUUCCAACACUAA
rnacentral:sRNA from 1 species